UACGAAGGGGGCUAGCGUUGCUCGGAAUCACUGGGCGUAAAGGGUGCGUAGGCGGGUCUUUAAGUCAGGGGUGAAAUCCUGGAGCUCAACUCCAGAACUGCCUUUGAUACUGAGGGUCUCGAGACCGGUAGAGGUAAGUGGAACUGCGAGUGUAGAGGUGAAAUUCGUAGAUAUUCGGAAGAACACCAGUGGCGAAGGCGAGUCCCUGGACACUUCCUGACACUGAGGCACGAAAGCUAGGGGAGCAAACAGG
rnacentral:rRNA from 1 species